GAUGCGCAGCUACACAUGCAGUCGACGGGCGUAGCAAUACGUCAGAUGGCAGACGGGUGAGUAACGCGUGGGAACGUACCUUUUGGUUCGGAACAACACAGGGAAACUUGUGCUAAUACCGGAUAAGCCCUUACGGGGAAAGAUUUAUCGCCGAAAGAUCGGCCCGCGUCUGAUUAGCUAGUUGGUGAGGUAAUGGCUCACCAAGGCGACGAUCAGUAGCUGGUCUGAGAGGAUGAUCAGCCACAUUGGGACUGAGACACGGCCCAAACUCCUACGGGAGGCAGCAGUGGGGAAUAUUGGACAAUGGGCGAAAGCCUGAUCCAGCCAUGCCGCGUGAGUGAUGAAGGCCCUAGGGUUGUAAAGCUCUUUUGUGCGGGAAGAUAAUGACGGUACCGCAAGAAUAAGCCCCGGCUAACUUCGUGCCAGCAGCCGCGGUAAUACGAAGGGGGCUAGCGUUGCUCGGAAUCACUGGGCGUAAAGGGUGCGUAGGCGGGUUUCUAAGUCAGAGGUGAAAGCCUGGAGCUCAACUCCAGAACUGCCUUUGAUACUGGAAGUCUUGAGUAUGG
rnacentral:rRNA from 1 species